rnacentral:sRNA from 2 species
AAAAAUGGCGACUAGGGUUCCGGCUCAUCAGUGAGUGUCUGGACCGAGAGUUGCCGGCUCCGGUAGGGGCUACACGGCGGGAUAAAAGCCCGGGAGGA